AUUGAACGCUGGCGGAAUGCUUUACACAUGCAAGUCGAACGGCAGCACGGACUUCGGUCUGGUGGCGAGUGGCGAACGGGUGAGUAAUGUAUCGGAACGUGCCCAGUCGUGGGGAUAACGUAGUGAAAAUUACGCUAAUACCGCAUACGAUCUAUGGAUGAAAGCGGGGGAUCGCAAGACCUCGCGCGAUUGGAGCGGCCGAUAUCAGAUUAGGUAGUUGGUGGGGUAAAGGCCCACCAAGCCAACGAUCUGUAGCUGGUCUGAGAGGACGACCAGCCACACUGGAACUGAGACACGGUCCAGACUCCUCCAGGAGGCAGCAGUGGGGAAUUUUGGACAAUGGGCGAAAGCCUGAUCCAGCCAUUCCGCGUGCAGGAUGAAGGCCCUCGGGUUGUAAACUGCUUUUGUACAGAACGAAAAGGUUUCUACUAAUACUAGGAGCUCAUGGCGGUACUGUAAGAAUAAGCACCGGCUAACUACGUGCCAGCCGCCGCAGUAA
rnacentral:rRNA from 1 species